GGUAAUAUUUUGAAAAUUACAAUUUGUAUUUUAACUAAAUUUUUGACACUGGAUGUUGCAGCUCGAAAAUGCUUUGAUUUUCAUUUCAAUUAUUAGAACAUUAUCAAGUCAAUCAUAAAAUGAGCUCCGUUUCACUGAACAAAUGCUGAAGAAAGGAUUAAAGCUGAACACCACUCGUAAAAGGCAAUGUCCGCCAUAUUUUUCAUCCAUUGCCACUAUCUCUACAACCUCUAUAUAACCUGAAGACCUCUUAGCAGUUCAAAGAAUUUCGCUGUAAAGGUCUCAUCUGUGUGGACGUAUAUUUUGUCUGGCCGUCUUACUCUGUCGUGAUGAAAUUGUCAAAUUUUUCAACGCAAGAGUAUACUACCUGCAACAUCAUUCAAAUAAUCAGAUUAUUCAAUGCAUUUUUUACAAACAUAAUAUGCACAUAAUGCAAUGAACAAGUGUACAAAUUCUCAGACCACAAAUGGAAUGUCGGCCUUGAGUUUUAGGAGUGUAACCAAAUCAAAGGGUUUUUAUACCUAUAUUAUAUAAGUGUGGUGUUCAGUUUUAAUCUGGGGUCCAGAAAAAGAUGCACAACUUAUUCAAAUUAUUAACAGUAUUUUUAUUUUCUUUUUAGCAGCAUUAUACCAUUAUGUCAGUGCUGACAUUUUAAUGGCAGCAAUGUGUUAUGUUCUUUGCUGAGUAUCAAGUGUGCCUAAUGUUCUGAGUUAUCAUCAAUAAAAAAAUUUAGUUAC
rnacentral:sRNA from 1 species